rnacentral:lncRNA from 7 species
CUGUGACACCCACCCCGUGGGGAAGGCACAGGCGGGAGAAGCUAGGGAGAGCUGGGGCUGCCUACAGCUUUUUUCCUGCCUCUCAUCCCUGCAGAGAGGAGACGCCUGCAAGCACUUUGGCUCCUUGGUGGGAUUGCUGGUGCCUCUGAUGUGUGACCCCAUGCCCACCUCCCGCCAGUUGGCUGUCACCUGUCUGAGCUCCCUUCUCCAAAUCCAAGGUGAGUAGAGCGGGCGUGAGCCAGCCCUCUGCUCUCCUCCGCAGCACUACCAGAACCCCACGGGCUGGGCCCAGUUUACAGGAGGGAGAGGCACCGUGCGCAGCUCUCUUCUCCUCUCCACCCUGUCCUCUGUCUCUCCCCUGUGGAAAGCGGUUCCGUUUCCAGAAGCAUGACUUCCCUUUUCUCCCUGUGCUCUUUCCAGCCAAGGCGACCAACAGAGUCAUCCAGACAGGAGACAUCGGGAGCCUGUGUGAGGGGCUGAAUGACCGCAGCACCGUCUGUCAGCUCCAGACCGCUUCCAAAAUCGCGCGGAUUGUAUGCAGAAGCUUCUCCCUGGAACACACCAUAGAUUUCAUGAUGGCCAUCAAGGACACCUUCCGGAAGGCCAAAGGAAUGCGUGUGCGUGCUGCUGGGAAGUGGAUGAUCACCUUUCUGCAGAUGCAUGGAAAGGACAUCUGUCGGGAUGUAAGAGACUUUCUUCCACGAGCCUUGGACUUUUGUUGGCUGUUGCACUACACCUUGUGCCGUUUGCCUCUUGUGCUAAAGAAGCACAGCCUGAGCGCAGAGCCAGGGCUUGGACAGGGUGACCGGUGUGAAAUGUAGGCUUAGGCCUUGGCGGCAUGUCAAGGGAGCAGGCACCGUUCAUGUGCUGAAUGUCCAUGAUUAGGUCCUGCAGAGUCAAGGAUGCAGCAAGUCAUUCUUUCUCCCCUUCUUCUUUCAGCUUGAUCUUUCACCGAUCAUCUACAUCCUGCGCAGCUGCAUGUCGUCCCUGCAGCACAGCACGAACACGCCAUUCCUGUGCCAGGCGGUGGCCAUCCUCACCCGCUGUCACACAGACAUCACAAUUGACAGCUUCUUCCACAGGCGUUGAGCCCACAGACAGCGAGACAUGGAGGAGAGUAAGACAGUUUUCUCUUCAAUGGUGCAGCAGGGAGAAGACAAGACAAGACAAGACAAGACAAGACAAGACAAGAAAAGAAAGGAAAAAAGAGGAGAAGAGAAGAGAAGAGAAGAGAAGAGAAGAGAAGAGAAGAGAAGAGAAGAGAAGAGAAGAGAAGAGAAGAGAAGAGAAGAGAAGAGAAGAGAAGAGAAGAGAAGAGAAGAGAAGAGAAGAGAAGAGAAGAGAAGAGAAGAGAAGAGAAGAGAAGAGAAGAGAAGAGAAGAGAAGAGAAGAGAAGAGAAGAGAGAGGGGAAGGGAAAGAAGAGAAGAGAGGGAAAAGAAAAGGAAGGGAAGGGAAGGGAAGGGAAGGGAAGGGAAGGGAAGGGAAGGGAAGGGAAGGGAAGGGAAGGGAAGGGAAGGGAAGGGAAGGGAAGGGAAGGGAAGGGAAGGGAAGGGAAGGGAAGGGAAGGGAAGGGAAGGGAAGGGAAGGGAAGGAAGGGAAGGGAAGGGAAGGGAAGGGAAGGGAAGGGAAGGGAAGGGAAGGGAAGGGAAGGGAGAGGGAGAGGAGAGGAGAGGAGAGGAGAGGAGAGGAGAGGAGAGGAGAGGAGAGGAGAGGAGAGGAGAGGAGAGGAGAGGAGAGGAGAGGAGAGGAGAGGAGAGGAGAGGAGAGGAGAGGAGAGGAGAGGAGAGGAGAGGAGAGGAGAGGAGAGGAGAGGAGAGGAGAGGAGAGGAGAGGAGAGGAGAGGAGAGGAGGAGAGGGGAGAGGAGAGGAGAGUAG